CGGGCACAACCAGGAAGAACAAUCAAGACAAAUGCCUGGCAUGCCAUUCAGCUGUAAAAAACUGGGCAGAGUAGUCGCCAAGAGAUGUGAUCUACAUGUAGCUGCACCAAGAAAAAUACCUGGAGAUACCCGGAGAAAGCUCUUGGUUUGCAUUGCCAUUCAUGCCAAUGCCAGUUGUUUGGCUGGCGCAGGACCCCGAAGGCAGCAGAUGAGGAAAAGUCCAUUUCACACUUUCGAGAGCCUCAAAAGAAUGAGAAAUUGGUGAAACAUCUGCUAUAUUAUUACAUAUUUGUGUUGAAUAGGCAAUUGAAUGCAGCUGAUUUUUUUUUUUUUUUUUUGCAUCCAGAUGGUGUAGAUAUGACAUCUAUAGCCAGACCUUGAGUGCUUGGAUGACACUUUUGCGAGCAACCCGAGUUCAAACCUGGCUCGUGUCAUUUCCUGAUCCCAUUCCCCUACUCUCCUCUCAUGUUUCACUGUCUUCUCAAUAAAAAUGGUAAAAACACUGAAGGUUGCA
ensembl:lncRNA